rnacentral:sRNA from 1 species
GAGUUCUAUAAAUUACAUUCCUGUUUUUGGACUGAGAUAUACCAAGUACAAAAUACAUCUGAGUAUUUCUUAAGAUAACAGGAUUGAAGUAUAUCUCUGGGGAAGAAAAUUCACCUUGCUUUUAAAUGCCAUUUAAAAAUUAUUUCUGUCAUAUAAAUUAUCUUAUUGUUGGCCAUGCACAGUGGCUCACACGUGUAAUCCCAACACUUUGGGAGGCCAAGGCGGGCGGACUGGUUGAGCUCAGGAGUUCAAGCCCAGACUGGGUAGCAUGGUGAAACCUCAUCUCUACAAAAAAUAUAAAAAUUAGCUGGGCGUGGUAGUACAUCUGUAGCCCCAGCUUCUUGGGAGGCUGAGGUAGGAGGAUCACCUGAGCCUGGGGAGGUCAAGGCUGCGGUGAGCUGUGAUCAUGAUACUGCACUCUAGUCUGGGUGACAGAGUGAGACCCUGUCUCAAAAAAUAAAAAUAAACAAAUUCUCUUAUUAUUAAACUACUUUGAAGCCUAAAAAUUUUUUUAAAUGUUUAUUUAUAAAUUUUGCUACAAUGUAAUUUCUACAUUACUUUAAUGUCAUAAGAAAAAUUAGAUGUAUAGGUAAUGUAAUUUUUCUCCUAUUUCCCUAUAGCAAGUACAGAUGAAGCUCAGGUUCCCCAAGGAAAUAUUGACCAGGUUGCUGUUGUGGCCAUCAAUGUUCUGUUUUUUGUGGCUCUAUUUAUCUUUGCCCUUUUUGAAACCAUCAUUACUCCAUUAACAAUGGAUAUGUAUGCCUGGACUCAAGAACAAGCUGUGUUAUAUAAUGGCAUAAUACUUGCUGCUCUUGGGGUUGAAGCUGUUGUUAUUUUCUUAGGAGUUAAGUUGCUUUCCAAAAAGAUUGGCGAGCGUGCUAUUCUACUGGGAGGACUCAUCGUUGUAUGGGUUGGCUUCUUUAUCUUGUUACCUUGGGGAAAUCAAUUUCCCAAAAUACAGUGGGAAGAUUUGCACAAUAAUUCAAUCCCUAAUACCACAUUUGGGGAAAUUAUUAUUGGUCUUUGGAAGUCUCCAAUGGAAGAUGACAAUGAAAGACCAACUGGUUGCUCGAUUGAACAAGCCUGGUGCCUCUACACCCCAGUGAUUCAUCUGGCCCAGUUCCUUACAUCAGUUGUGCUAAUAGGAUUAGGCUAUCCAGUCUGCAAUCUUAUGUCCUAUACUCUAUAUUCAAAAAUUCUAGGACCAAAACCUCAGGUAAGCCAGGUACCCUGACAUUGCAAUUAUAGAAAAUAUACUUGUAAGCACUCACAUUUUUUGCUGCCAUUCUCUAUUUUUACACAGACUGAUUUGAGGGAUUUUUAUCAUAUUCAGCAUUUAAAAUUUUUAAAAAUCCCACAACUUCUAAAAAGUUCAUUCUUGGGUAGGUUAUGUGGGUUAUAGUUUUGGAUACAGAAGUUGUAGGAGUGGCAUUGUGGUAGAGUGUAAAGUGGCACAGUGGAGUCAGCCAAAUAUGGCUUCAAACUUCUUGAACAAGUUACUUAAACUUUCUGAGUUUCAGCUUCUACCUUUGCUAAACGGGCAUAACACCUGUCAUCGAAACUUGUGAACAUUACAAAUGAUGUAUGUAAAGCACCUACCUCAGUGACUGGCAUGUAGCAGGUACAAAAUAAAUGUUAGCUUUAAAAGGUAUUUUAAUCAAUUUUAUUAUUCCCAGGGCUUCAGCAGACAUUAAGUUUUUCCCUUUACACUCCUUUUAUUUUUUUUAAUCUGACUUAAUAUCAAAUGCUAUAUUUAUAGGAGGCAUUUUAUGUUUAAUUUAAAAGUAAAAGAUGCAGAAACGAUUCUUGUAAGUUUGCUGUAGUUUGGUAAUACCAUUUCUUUGUUUUUAAAUAACUAAACCCCAAUAUCAAUCUGCUUGUCCUCCAUUUCACCCCCAACAGGGUGUAUACAUGGGCUGGUUAACAGCAUCUGGAAGUGGAGCCCGGAUUCUUGGGCCUAUGUUCAUCAGCCAAGUGUAUGCUCACUGGGGACCACGAUGGGCAUUCAGCCUGGUGUGUGGAAUAAUAGUGCUCACCAUCACCCUCCUGGGAGUGGUUUACAAAAGACUCAUUGCUCUUUCUGUAAGAUAUGGGAGGAUUCAGGAAUAAACUAGCUAAGACUGUGAUGGAAACUACUUGCUGUGUGGCACUUCCUGGUCUAAAGCUCUGCUAGACAAUUGCGGUGAGCCAGUCUCCAAGAAUCAGACUACAGAUAUUGCAGAUUUUGAAGAACAAGAACAUAUGUUGAAUAACAGAGAGAAUUCUACAUGUCAUUGUGAAUAGUAGGUUAUAUAAAAACAUACUAGAUGAUAAUUUCCUUACCUCAGAAAUGAAAUAUUAUUCUUAUAAUACCUUUUUAUGGUUGCAUGAACUAAUGAGUGAAUGGACAAUGAUGAAUAAAUGUGAAGCUGUAUUCUUAAUACCCACUGCAGAAGUGUCAUUAAAAUAAUAUACAGUGGAACCAGAAAGAGGGUUCUGUAAGAAUUAGCCAUAGCAGAACAAAAUUAUAGAAUUUUAAAUACCUCUACCCAAGUAGAGGUAUUUUUAUUCAGACACCUACUUUUUAUUUAUUAAAAAAUGCAUUUUCUAUUAUCAAGUUCACUUAUGAAAUAAAAAUUAUAACACAUAUUUUCCAUUUAGCAUGCCUAACAUCCUACCUUGCCUUCUAUGAGUCUUUCUUCUAAUACUACACCUCUGCCUUAUUUUAGUUCAGGGUUUCACUAAGUAACCCCUACAUUAAUAAAUGAGUAUGAAUAAUGCUAAUAUUUGAGCAAUACAGAGGAUUAAGAGAUCAAGAUACUUCACUGCCUAUUAGCCUAAUAGGGAUACCUACUUUCUUUCAAAUGCCAAUAAUUCACAUUAGAAACAUAAUCCAGAUAUGUGUUAUUUUAUAUAUAUAUAUAUACAAAACAGUAAAUGGUUUCUUAAAAUUAUUGCUAUUUUUCAACCCCCUUAAACUGGAGAAAAACAUUUAAUUAGUAAAACAUUAAUUAAUUUACUUUAAUUUUUCCCAUCUCUCAGUAGUGGCGGGGAGGAACACAACAGUUUUCAAUCUAUGUCUGCAUAGUUGUAUAGAGCUGCAGAAUUUUAGUUGGAUUUUUAAUUUGGAUGAUCCCUGACAGCCCCAACCUAGUCAGGCUAAUAAGUAUUUGAGGCAAAAUGGCUUUAAUCUAACAAUUUACUGAGUUUACCUGAAGUUGGCUAAAUAACACUGUAUGUUUAACUUCUACCUCUACAUAAGUUGAAUGCUGAUAAAAGGAACUAGUAGAUAACUAUGUAUAUUGAUAAGCACUGUUACAGAAAAUGCAAAAAUAUUUCUAAACACUUUUCCAAAUGUUUUCUACUUUAAGUUAGAAAUAGUUUCAAAUCUGAGAAUAAACACUAUAUAAUCUGCACUUUAUAGGUUGGGUGCAGUGUCUCAUGCCUGUAAUCCCAGCACUUUGGAAGGCCAAGGCAGGAGGAUUGCUUGAGGCCAGGAAUUCAAGACCAGCCUGGGAAACAAAGUGAGACCCUGUCUUUACAAAAAAUAAAAACAAAAAUUUAAAACUGUAUAAUCUGCACUUUAUGCUAAACUAGCUGUGCUCUUAAACUCAAUUUUUUCAGCUCUAAUAAAGGGCUUAAUUUGAUAGAAUUAUUCUACGAUUAAAUUUUGAAGACUGUUUUCACUCUCCUCUGCCGCCCAUAGCAAGACUGCUUCCAUAGAUUUCUCAGAACCGUAGCCAGUUCUGGCUAUUUGGUCAAGUCUGGGAUCCCUCUUACCUGCUAUUCUGCAGCUGCUUUCUCUGUCUUACAUCUUUUGGGCCACGUCUAAUCUUAAAGAGUAAACUCUACCCUUGGUUUGCAUAGUGUUCGUGACAAAAAUAACAAGAAUAAUGGUAAUGAUGAAAAUGAUAAGAGCAAAAUUUGUGGAGUGCUUUCCACAUUCCAGGUAAUGUGUAACAUACAAUUUAAUUCUUACAGCAGUCUUACGGAGUGAAAAUACUAUUAUGAUUCCCGUUUUACAGAUGAAAGAAUGGAGGCACAGAAAAGUUACUUGUCUAAGUAACAGUCUAUCCUUAAAGUCCACAGUCUUAACCACUUGAUUUUUCAUAGUGAGGAAAAUAUCCCAGAAAGUUGCAGUUUCAAUUAAUUACUAAUUGUAGGGUAAUUUAACUAUACCAAUGACUCCUACUAGCAGAAAUAUUUGGGCAACAUAAGCCCACUGACUGGAGCUUUUGUCUUAGCAUAAUAACCUGUUUCCAGCAAGAAUAUAACAGAAAAGUUUCCCAGCUUUCAAAAGUUUAUAAUAUUGAUUAAAAUUUAGAUAAACUUAACCUUACACAAAUGACUCUUACUUUCCUUUUUAUUGAGAGCAUUUUCUUUGGAGCAUUUUCUUCUUUGGAGGAUUAUACCUUGCUCAUUUAGGCACAAAAGAAGGCGAAAGGAAGUAACAUGGGAUUGGGAAAAGAGCAAGGAGAUAAAGUUUGAGGAAAAAAAAUCACCAUGUUGAUGUCUUCUUGAGUAGGCCAAGUUGCAUAUAAAGAGAAAAUGACAACAGGAGAUUUUAAGGUAUGAUAUAUUGUUAAGAGUAGUACAUAUUUAAGAAGAGAAAAUAUGUUUUUGAAAACAAAUUUAAACUUGAAAGGAUGAUUUUCAUAUUUUGAAGGGAUUUAUAACUUCACAAAGCAUCUCCAUUCUAUCUUGUUCAGCUUUACAUUUAAAAAUAAACUCUUCUUGUUCAUAUAAACCUUAUCUCUUACAUAAAGUGAAAUCUGUUAAUUUUUUGUUUUGACAAGGAUAA